GCAUUGAAUUUUGGGAAUACUCGCUUCUUCUUUUUCCACAAAGGAGGGAGGUCCUAUGACAAGAAGUAGCAUUUAUAAAAAAUCAAGAUUCAUUCAAUUCAGACAAAGCUUCCCUAUAAGAUGUAUAUCAGAAUAAAUAUGAUACAGUAUGAAACUGGAGAAUAGCUAAGAGCGUCUUACUCAAGACAAUAGUUAAUCCAACUACUAUUGUUAUUACUAAGAAGAAAUACAAACACAGUUGUUACAUGACAAAGGGGAGGGGGAUAUUUUUGCACUCUACUCCUUGUGGAUUUCUGGCUUUAAAGAGCCAUAGGAGUACACAGUAUGUGUUUGAAGUUACCUUCUAAAAUGUUCAUGUAUUAAUUUAAAGUACCAACUUUCUAGUACAUAUUACUGAAAAUCUCAAGCUCAGCCCACAAAGGAAGGAAGAUUGAAUUCUAAAAUGGUCUGACCAUUUCUCCAAGGGGUUUUCAUAUGCAAAGCAUGCAUCAGCCACAUCCAUGCUAUCUCCUAAAGCAGUCAUUCUGAAACCCAAUCUGGGGACAGUGCAGACUAAAUAAAAUUUCAUUUUGAUUUGGCCUCCCGCUGAGAAUGGGACUGCUUUGUUUCAGCCGACAGAACCAGCAAGCCAGAAAGGUGUUGAAUACACAAACACUGACUUAACGGAAAAUUAUGGUCAUCGUGGUAAGGGAAAUAUUUUUAUCUGGGCCUCAGGAAAUGGUGGUCUGGCUAAUGAUCACAGCAGUGCUGAGGGUUCUGUGAACAGUAUUUGCACAUUGGCAGCUGGUGCCAUCACUGACCUCCACCUCACAACUCCCUCUACAAGGUCUGCUCAGCAAUGAUAGCUGUGGUUCCUACAGAAGUAUCCGGUGAGGUACCAGUGUGGUGGACAGGACCCUGAAACAGGACUUCAAUUUAGAGCAGGGUGAGUCGCAAUGUGUGAAUAAAAUAUUGAUGUGGCCAGCCA
rnacentral:lncRNA from 1 species